rnacentral:lncRNA from 1 species
AAGUUGUUAAAUCUGUUGGAAUGGAUCUAAACAAAUUACAAUUAAAAACCAUUUCUUUUAAGUCGAGAAUUAUAUCAAAUUUCAAGACGUUCAGUGAGCAAUCGUACUUAAAAAAUAUGCUGAUACAUAAUAUGGAGCUUAGUUGAAGAUGUCUCAACAGAAAACAUGAGUAAGGGAAAAGAACUCGGGAACCAUGCUCGUGGGAUUCGAUCGUGCUAAAGUGUGUAUUUUAUUCAAGAUUAAACUGGAACGGUUUUUAGUAAGGGGAAAAUGAAGCUCACCCAACCAGACAGGCUGUGUGUGAGAAAUCAUGACUACCGAGGAAUCUGUUGUUGACUACAAUCUUUACCAGUGCCAGGAAUCUAUGUUAUUGAUGUAAGUGACUUUUGUGUUUAAUUCAAGUUUUCAACAUUUUCCCAUCCAUGUUCAUAGCAUUUCUUUGACCUGACAUUCAUUCAGUACUAUAUGCCACAGUGAUAUUUUAUAUUCUAAAGUGUAAAUUGUAACCAAAAAGGCCUUUUACGUUACAGUCUGAUGACUGUAAAGGUAUUAGUCACUUAUGAUAUACGUACUAUAAAUCCCACGCGCUUAAAGAUAAUAGAUUUUGGGUGGUUUCAGAGUAACUUUCUGCUUCAUAGAACCCGUUUGUAUUAGUUCAAGUCGUGAGUCAACUGCAAUGUAUUUCCGAUGUUUAGAUUAUAGGCAUACGACUCAUAUCUAGAUAACAGUUUGUCCUUGUAGAAAUAAGCGUCAUGUAUAGAGGGUUCCCUCACCAACAGUUACCUAUUCGAUUGAUACGGUCUCAUUCGCUUACCUGGGCCAAAUCGUAGUUUUUUUUCCCCCUUUCAAUCUUGCUACGUGAUACUUUUGCGCAAAUCACAUUGUUCCCGUUCAAUUUCUGCAUUAUUGUAAUCGAUUAAAACCAUGGAAAAAAUUCUAGCUUCAGCCGACUUAUUUGUGGGUCUUUUUGGCAUUCAGCUUGCAGGUAAUUUCUCGUUGUUACUAAUCCCACUUACGACGUCAACUAUAUCUAUGACCUUAUUUAUUCAUGAUGUGAAUCAAGUAUCGGCGUUGGCGAUUUAUUCUAAUUGGGUUUUAAAUUUUAAACGAAAUUAUUAGAUUGAAAUCGAGUUAAGUUGUGAUGAGCAUGGCUGUAUUCGCUUCGUUGAUUGGUUUCACGUUAAUAGGAUUGUAUUCUUGGAGUAUUGAUGGCUACCAGGGUUUGAUUGCAGACUGUGAAUUGUAUUCUAGCAAUUCAACGGUGAACAAUUCUACAAUGGUCAACAAUUCUACAGUAGAAAAAGUGUAUCCCGACAUUUUCAGUCCUCUCAAAAUAUGGCGUCGAUUCUUUGAUGAUCGUUUGUGGUAUUCUGGCUUUUAUCAUCAACGGGUUCAUAGCUGCAACUGCUUCAUCUAUCACUUCCUAAAAUUUACUUAAAUCGAUCAUAAAUCUGAAGUACUUGGAUGUGUCUCUUGUUCAGUCCUAUACAAGUGCAUGAAUGAAAACUGUACAUAAAUUGUAAAAAAGGCACAAUUAAACAUUUGGUUUGAUUAACAAAUUUCCGUUCCAAUUUUUAUCUUGUAUAAUUUUGCUAAGAGUUUGUAUACGUUAUCUCAGUCUAACGGUUCUAAAUUGCGACAUAUUCCCUAUGUUUUCAGAGACAGGGUCUGUGUUUAAAAAUUCCUUUUAUCUCUGUUUAUGUUUAUCAUCAGACAUACUGGGCAUUACAAUCGCUUGAUAGUUUU